rnacentral:misc_RNA from 1 species
GAUGAAGAACGCAGCGAAAUGCGAUAAGUAGUGUGAAUUGCAGAAUUCAGUGAAUCAUCGAAUCUUUGAACGCACAUUGCGCCCCUUGGUAUCCCGAGGGGCAUGCCUGUUCGAGCGUCAUUUCACCACUCAAGCCUGGCUUGGUGUUGGGCGACGUCCUCUUUGGGGACGCGCCUCGAAACGCUCGGCGGCGUGGCACCGGCUUUAAGCGUAGCAGAAUCUUUCGCUUUGGAAGUCGGGGCCCCGUCUGCCGGAAGACCUGCUCGCAAGGUUGACCUCGAAUCAGGCAGGGAUACCCGCUGAACUUAAGCAUAUCAAUAAGCGGAGGA